GACGAACGCUGGCGGCGUGCCUAAUACAUGCAAGUAGAACGCUGAAGAGAGGAGCUUGCUCUUCUUGGAUGAGUUGCGAACGGGUGAGUAACGCGUAGGUAACCUGCCUUGUAGCGGGGGAUAACUGUUGGAAACGAUAGCUAAUACCGCAUAACAAUGGAUGACACAUGUCAUUUAUUUGAAAGGGGCAAUUGCUCCACUACAAGAUGGACCUGCGUUGUAUUAGCUAGUAGGUGAGGUAAUGGCUCACCUAGGCGACGAUACAUAGCCGACCUGAGAGGGUGAUCGGCCACACUGGGACUGAGACACGGCCCAGACUCCUACGGGAGGCAGCAGUAGGGAAUCUUCGGCAAUGGGGGCAACCCUGACCGAGCAACGCCGCGUGAGUGAAGAAGGUUUUCGGAUCGUAAAGCUCUGUUGUAAGUCAAGAACGGGUGUGAGAGUGGAAAGUUCACACUGUGACGGUAGCUUACCAGAAAGGGACGGCUAACUACGUG
rnacentral:rRNA from 1 species